AUUGAACGCUGGCGGAAUGCUUUACACAUGCAAGUCGAACGGCAGCACGGACUUCGGUCUGGUGGCGAGUGGCGAACGGGUGAGUAAUGUAUCGGAACGUGCCCAGUCGUGGGGGAUAACGUAGUGAAAAUUACGCUAAUACCGCAUACGAUCUAUGGAUGAAAGCGGGGGAUCGCAAGACCUCGCGCGAUUGGAGCGGCCGAUAUCAGAUUAGGUAGUCGGUGGGGUAAAGGCCCACCAAGCCAACGAUCUGUACCUGGUCUGAGAGGACGACCAGCCACACUGGAGCUGAGACACGGUACAGACUCCUACGGGAGGCAGCAGUGGGGAAUUUUGGACAAUGGGCGAAAGCCUGAUCCAGCCAUUCCGCGUGCAGGAUGAAGGCCCUCGGGUUGUAAACUGCUUUUGUACAGAACGAAAAGGUUUCUACUAAUACUAGGAGCUCAUGACGGUACUGUAAGAAUAAGCACCGGCUAACUACGUGCCAGCCGCCGCAGUAA
rnacentral:rRNA from 1 species